rnacentral:rRNA from 1 species
GACGAACCGUGCGAACGUUGUUCGGAAUCACUGGGCUUAAAGGGCGCGUAGGCGGGUUCGCAAGUCGGGGGGUGAAAUCUUUCAGCUCAACUGGAAAAGUGCCCCCGAUACUGCGAGUCUCGAGGGAGGUAGGGGCAUGUGGAACUAAUGGUGGAGCGGUGAAAUGCGUAGAUAUCAUUAGGAACGCCGGUGGCGAAAGCGACGUGCUGGACCUCUUCUGACGCUGAGGCGCGAAAGCUAGGGGAGCAAACGGG